rnacentral:other from 1 species
GAUCCUCUGCAGUGUACGAGGUGCUUUCAUUAACCGCUCUUUGCCUUUGAUAUAUUCCGGGAGCUGAACCCGCCGUGGAAGCUGCUAGGCCGUAAAUCGGAAAGCAAACGCUGCGGAGGAGGCGCCCACCUUAACCUAAAAAGGACUAGAGCCUUUGGGCAUACGGCACAGGCGGAGGAUCA